rnacentral:lncRNA from 1 species
GGAAGCCAACUUGGGUCGUUUGCCCGCUUCGUAGUUGGUAAAUUGUGUUAGAACUUGCGUUAAAAAUAGGGACGAUUCGACACUUGUAAAAUCGUUUUUUCUUUUAAUUGUCAAAUUUAUUUUGGAUCAUGAUUAGUCAUAAGUUAAAUUGGCUGAAAUAUUAUCAGCUUCCAUCCUUUAUAUCGUAAUGUUGAUCGGCUAUGGUUUUUUUUUUGUUUGCUGCAAUAUGCAUAGUUUUAUAAUCUGAGAAAAACGAUCUA